AUACGUAGGGUGCAAGCGUUAAUCGGAAUUACUGGGCGUAAAGCGUGCGCAGGCGGUUUUGUAAGACAGAGGUGAAAUCCCCGGGCUCCACCUGGGAACUGCACUUGUGGCUGCAAGGCUAGAGUACGGCAGAGGGGGAUGGAAUUCCGCGUGUAGCCGUGAAAUGCGUAGAUAUGCGGAGGAACACCGAUGGCGAAGGCAAUCCCCUGGGCCUGUACUGACGCUCAUGCACGAAAGCGUGGGGAGCAAACAGGAUUAGAUUCCCUGGUAGUCCACGCCCUAAACGAUGUCAACUGGUUGUUGGGUCUUCAUUGACUCAGUAACGAAGCUAACGCGUGAAGUGGACCGCCUGGGGAGUACGGCCGCAAGGUUGAAACUCAAAUGAAUUGACGGGG
rnacentral:rRNA from 1 species